rnacentral:rRNA from 1 species
CCUACGGGAGGCAGCAGUGGGGAAUAUUGCACAAUGGGGGAAACCCUGAUGCAGCGACGCCGCGUGAGUGAAGCAGUAAUUCGUUAUGUAAAGCUCUAUCAGCAGGGAAGAAAAUGACGGUACCUGAGUAAGAAGCCCCGGCUAACUACGUGCCAGCAGCCGCGGUAAUACGUAGGGGGCAAGCGUUAUCCGGAUUUACUGGGUGUAAAGGGAGCGUAGACGGCAGUGCAAGUCUGGAGUGAAAGGCGGGGGCUCAACCCCCGGACUGCUCUGGAGACUGUACGGCUUGAGUGCAGGAGAGGUAAGUGGAAUUCCGAGUGGAGCGGUGAAAUGCGUAGAUAUUAGGAGGAACACCAGUGGCGAAGGCGGCUUACUGGACUGUAACUGACGUUGAGGCUCGAAAGCGUGGGGAGCAAACAGGAUUAGAUACCCGAGUAGUC